GGCCCCGGCGGCCUCCCGGCAGCUACCUGUCCCCGCCCGAGACUCACAUCCGGGGCCAGCCACAGGUGCCGAGGGGAGGGGCGGGCCAGCGAUUGGUGGCCACCGACGCCCCUGCCGGCGGCUGCAAGUUUCCGCCACACUAGGACCCCCCCAAGCGCGCGCCAGGGCCGGAGAACGUGGGCGCGCUCAGACGGCGUGCGGCACCCGCGCCGCCCCGGGCCCCUCUGGCCCACUCCGAGGCCGAAAAGUCCCCGGACUUGGCCGCUCCGUUCCCUGCCUGCCCCCCGCCCCUGCUCCGGGCCAUUAUCCUGGAGAGCGGUGCACAGCGGCGAAGUCCCCGGCGUUGAGUCACCGACUGGGGGCGGGCGGGAGGGAGCAAGCGCCCCUCCCCCACACCCUUCGCGGCCGUUGGGGCGCCACCCCCUCCCCAGGUGUUGGCGGGCGGCGGCCAGCCCCGCCCGGCCGGCAGAGAGAGCACGACGCUGAAACCUUGAAGAAAUGGGGCCUGAAGGAAGAGUGAGAUGUCUGGGAAGAGGAAGGUGGAGGCUAAAAUGGAAUACAAAGGAAAGCGGGAAUACCGUCCAAACCACAAUAAAAAAUAAAAAUAAAUAAAAAAAAGUUGAC